UACGUAGGGUGCGAGCGUUGCCCGGAUUUAUUGGGCGUAAAGGGCGCGUAGGCGGCUCGGCACGUCCGUUGUGAAAUCGCCCGGCUCAACUGGGCGGGGUCAGCGGAUACGGUCGAGCUUGAGCAAGCUAGGGGGCAAUGGAAUUCCCGGUGUAGUGGUGGAAUGCGUAGAUAUCGGGAGGAAUACCGGUGGCGAAGGCGGCUCUCUGGGCCUUACCUGACGCUGAGGAGCGAAAGCGUGGGUAGCGAACAGG
rnacentral:rRNA from 1 species